CACGUAGGGUGCGAGCGUUGUCCGGAAUUAUUGGGCGGAAAGAGCUCGUAGGCGGUGUGUCGCGUCGGCCGUGAAAACCUGCAGCUUAACUGUGGGCUUGCGGUCGAUACGGGCAUCACUGGAGUUCGGCAGGGGAGACUGGAAUUCCUGGUGUAGCGGUGAAAUGCGCAGAUAUCGGGAGGAACACCGGUGGCGAAGGCGGUUCUCUGGGCCUUACCUGACGCUGAGGAGCGAAAGCGUGGGGAGCGAACAGG
rnacentral:rRNA from 1 species